GAGCAUAGCUCAGUUGGUUUAGAGCAUCUGCCUUACAAGCAGAGGGUCGGGGGUUCGACUCCCUCUGCUCCC
rnacentral:tRNA from 1 species